CGGGAGGGCGGGGGCAGUGCCCGGCACGCGGCCCUGCGCGGAAUCCCGAAGGCUUCUGGUGCUGGAGGUGGGGGCGGCGCGGGGGGCCCACUCGGGACGCGCGCGAGCCGGCGCCGGAGCCAAAGGUCCACCGAGAAGUAUUCGCCCGAAACUUUAGGAGAAACCGAGGGACUGGUUAGCCCCCUCCCACCCGCAGCCCUGAGUGCGCCCCUGCCCCCCACCAGGUUGCGCCCCUCCCUGACUGGGUGCGCCUGGCUGCCUCGACAGGCCUCCUCAGGCAGGCCUCCGGGGUUCCCCUCUGCCCCCUUGUGGGGAUCCCCGUGCGCGCCAGCGUGUUGGCUCUCCAGGGGUGUCCUGGCUCUCCCCUCUGGCCCAGGCUCACACUUGGCAACCUGAUGUGCUGGACCCAAUCCAGGGCUGUGGCUGAGGGCAGUGGCCACUGGCACAGUCCCUAGGAGAGAUGGCCUGAGGGUCCAUCGCCAACCUGGGGAGAAUACCGCCUGUGCCCCCGGAGAUUAGAGCACUGGCCCCCACUUACCUGUUCCCAGUUCUUCUGCUUUCACGGAAGGAUCCAUCAGGCACCCAGAGAAGAGAGGUCCGCAUCCCCAGAGUGGAUGCCCAGAAGACUUGCAGUCCUCUCCCAGCUCCUAAGGUGCUUUUUCAUCCUGGCACUGUCCUGCCUGAGCUUCCCUGGCCUCCCGGGUGUCCCCCUUCCGCUGUUGGCUGGAUGACAAGUACAGCCCUGAGGAGCUUUUAUGGUGGGGCUGAAAACUAAGGGCUUGUUCCAAAAGGAACCCAAGGGACCCAGAUUCCAGGUGAUCCGAGGGAGUCUAAUCAGACCUGGAAAUCUGGCUCUAAGGAACGAAGGGAGGAGGCAACCUCUGUACAGGUUUCCCACGCCUAACGUCCAAAUGAGUGCCCAUGGGUGGGUGACCUUUUGACCUGCAACCUCCCAGGUGUCCUGGACAGCAACUGGGGACAGUGGGGCCAGGCCGGUGGGCCCCUUCCCAUUUUACCUGGCAAGAGUGAAGGACUUGCUUCCUGUGUGUGUCACACUUACUUCCUAUCUUUCCCGACGCUCAGAAUCCCUUCCGCCCGUGCCUGAGUGUUAUCCCUUGGCUUAGGGUCACCCAGAACCAAGGAGGGCUCAACAUACAUGGCAUCCAGGCUUCAGCACUGUGGGGAUUGUCUUGUGGUGUCACCUCCACCAUGCAGUCAGAGACACAGAAAAGCAGGCAGAGAUGCUCAGAACAAAUCAAGUGACCAGGAAAAACACUGCAGUGGCAGGGGCGUUUCCUGGUGGAAACUAGGAAAAGUAAAAGGCGAGGCGGAGAACCUGGAACUAAUUGAGUUAGGGGAUGAACACCCCUGGCUCAGAGGGGAAAGUGCCACACGCACAGGAGUUGGUGGGUGGGGGCGAUGGGGAGCACCCAGGAGCACCCACAGUUCCCUGUUGGAUGGGAGAGAGGCACCUCAGAGUUUCUACUCAUUUUGGUAGAUUUUUUAUAGCAGUGGGAGGUACUGCGAGUAAAGCAGAAGGAUCCAUCCGGCACCCAGAGAAGAGAAGUCCGCAGCCUGAGAGCACGCAACCCUCCUCACCCUCCAUCAUGGCGCCUCUGCAGGAAUCUGCAGCACCCCCAUCAGCUCAGGGCCAGGUGGAGGACCAUGGACCCUGGAGGAGCAGGGUCAGCCCAAAGGGGCUCCUCUACCAAUGGAAGCCAUGCCUCUGUCACUCCCUGCCCCGGAAGUUCAGCCAGAGCCUGAGUUUCAGAAGCAAGGAGCAGGAGCCAGGGUGGAGAACGCGUACAUGAGCAUCCCCUCUCAGAUCUGCAUGAGUCCUGAGGAACCCGAUGCAUUUUAUUCCUCCAUCUGUGUGCAUUUGGUCCCCAUUUGUGUGGCUGCUGUUAAGGAGACGAUUUCAGGCUCCUGCAAGGAUCAGAGAAAGUCUGAGAAUGACAUCUCCCCUGACAUGAGGUUCCUUCGGCCUUCCAGGAAUGACACAGGGCUGUUCACAGGGCACCAGCUCAUCAGUUUCCAUCUCCUGUACAGAUAGUGUGGGGCUUAAUGUGGGGCAUAAGCCUGGUUGCUCUUUUACCCAGCCCUGCCUUUGAAACAAAAAUGGAAGGGGUCCAGUGACCACCUCACUUGACUCAGCACUGGCCAAGCCUCCCACGCCAGCCAGCAGGCCUUCCCUACGCUGCCCCUCGGCCUUCAUGGCUCACCACCUGCCUCACCUACGGUGCCCAGACCUGAGGGUAGUUUUCAUGACAAGGCCAGAUUGCGCCACUGGAACACCAAAUGCUGCCAGCGUGUCACACAGAUGAGCCACUGAUUUAGAAAGGGACGGAAGAGAGGACCAGAAAAUUCCAGAAGCUGCUUGCCUGCCAUGGCUGCUCCCUAUAAUAAGGAGAUGAGACAAAUCAAAUAUGGGCCACAGAUGUCCACAGAAGCCACUAGGCAUGGGAAGAGUGACACUGGCAGGUGGGAGGAGGACAUGAAGUCAUCCUUCCAUUACCCAUUCCUGAAACAGACCUUGCACGCUACGGCUCUUGCACGGCCAGGCCUGCUGUCAUCAUGGAACCCCAACCUGGUCUUAGGAAGUCGUCACAUUGAUGGUAUCGAUGGGUGCUGUGUCACCUCCACUCGAGGCCCUGACACAUGCAUCCUCACAGAGAUUUGCACAAACUGCACUUUCCCUAGGACCCCAUGAGAUUAUUGCUGCCAACUCUCCUGCCAGGGCAGCAUUUCACAGGACAAAAAGCCAGUCCCUGCUCUGCAGUGAGUCCACACUCCCCACCUCGAACCUUUGAAAGCACCAUGAGGACAGGAGGGACCCAAGUUAGUUUAGGCGUGUGGGAUACAACUGCAGUCCAAAGGAACCACUCAUCUGAUAGUCAUUCCCAAGCUUUAAUUUUCUUCUGCCCAGCUAUGUACAUUUAUUUAUUGUUUUUUGACUCCCUGCACAGACAUGAUAGAUUUUUUUCAAGUGAUUAUUGUCAUAUUCCCAACUACAUUUUAAUAAAUUUGCUGAAGUAUAAUAUGCAGAGGGCACAACACACACAGUGUAAGCACUGAGCUCAGUGACUUUGUGGAUCUGUAAGUUCCUUCCAAGUAAGUUCCACAUCAGGGCACAGAACAUUUGCUGCUCACCCCACACACAUCUCCUCACACAGCCCCUCCCAGGCAGUAAUCUUGCCCAUCUGACUCCUCCCUGGCUUCUGGUGCUAGAUGGUGGUUGCCUGCCCUCGGUCUGUGGGUAAACAGAGACUGCUUUGGCUCAGCACAUGCGCACUAGUACAUGAGGCUGGGAUUAUUCUUGCACAUUUUGUGUACAUGGAUGUUGCUUUCUACCUGAUGUUUCAGUUCUUUUCCAAGACAAGAAUGUAAGCCAAGAAUAAUCAAACCAUUGCAUCUGGAUCAGAGACACAUGGAUGACCUUGCAGAUUGGCCUGUUUUAGAAGGAACUCCAGCUGAAAUUGAAAUAGUCCUGGGCUGCUCUGCAAACCAGGUUCCCCACUUAAGAAGAGGCCAAGGUGAGACUGUAGGAACACAGCCGCUGACAAACUUCAGACAAGCUAGACUCCCCACAAUGUCCCGAAAUGUCUGCACAGCCUGUAACAGAAAGAGGCAGUUCAACCCCUGUUCUGGGCAUCCUUUCCACCUUUGUCUUGUGACAGAGCAGAAAAUGGAGCAGGCCCCAUCCAGAAAGCUGCACACCAGCCCUGAUGGUGCUGGCAGGUGUGAAAGGCACCUGCAGCAAUGCCAGCCCCACCGAGCAGCUGAACCAGGAGGUGCCACGCCGCGCUAUUGGCCACUCCCAGGGAGUCUUCCAUGUGAAGGCUUGAGAGCUAUGGUGCUUGAGGAAGGAGCAGCUUAAAACAUAAAGACUUUGAAGAGGAGCCUGACUGUGUGCGGUGCUGCAGACCAGCUUCUUUGCCAGGGAAGAUGCAGUGGGGCAACCUCGGCCGCUGAGCUGGUCGGCCUCCAGGCCUGCCAUCCAGGGUGCUGGUUCCUGGUCCUGGGCCUGCGGCUUGUGUGCACAGGUUCCUUUCCCAGGGUUCAGCUGAGCUGCCUGCAGCAGGAGCUUGGAUUUAGAGUUCUCAUCUGGUCACAGAUCUCAGUCGUGCUCCCUUAUCCCUAUGCCUCAGUCUCCUAGCAGAUGAUGGGAACAACAAUUGAUCACCCUUCUCUAGUAGGACGUUUGCGACAAGGAUGGAUUUUGAAAGUACAGAACUUUCACAGGAAAGGUCCAUCCCCUGGUCCCCUGCGUCAUCCCGAGGAAGAGCCUUCCAGCAAAUACAUCACAUUGGAGCUAAUUCAGCCCAGCUCAGCUGUCUGGUGGAAGGAUCCAAGGUAGGUCCUCAUCACAGGGGGGACCAGAGAGGACUGCAUGCGCCACUCCUGCAGCGCUGGCUCAUUUCCUGACCUCAGGUACCCUAACAGGUGCCAGCGGCCCAGGAUGGAACAACUCAGUUGCAGGCGGGGAAAGACUGUGGAGGCGCGCCCCCUGGCGGCAGUGGCAAACAACGUUCUGGGGGAUUUCCAGAUGUCUAUCCACCUGCCCUUGAUCUUGACUUGUUCCUCCUAAUCCUAGACUGAAUGCACAAUCUCUUUUCUCUCCAUGUCGCCGCUCAGUCAACUUUAAGAUGUUAUUUAAAGGACAAGUGUGUCACAUAAAGCACUUCCUGUCCCCAGAA